rnacentral:rRNA from 1 species
GACGAACGCUGGCGGCGUGCUUAACACAUGCAAGUCGAACGCAGUGGCGAACGGGUGAGUAACGCGUAAUCAACCUGCCCUUCAGAGGGGGACAACAGUUGAAAACGACUGCUAAUACCGCAUACUGAAGGUGGGGCUGGCGUCGGAUUAGUUAGUUGGAGGGGUAACGGCCCACCAAGGCGAAGAUCAGUAGCCGGUCUGGGGGGAUGAACGGCCACAUUGGGACUGAGACACGGCCCAGACUCCUACGGGAGGCAGCAGUGGGGAAUCUUCCGCAAUGGACGAAAGUCUGACGGAGCAACGCCGCGUGAGUUAUGACGGCCUUCGGGUUGUAAAGCUCUGUUAAUCGGGACGCGGUACCGGAAUAGAAAGCCACGGCUAACUACGUGCCAGCAGCCGCGGUAAUUC